rnacentral:rRNA from 1 species
CGAAGGUGGCCUGUGAGGGUUGCUGGAGGUAUCAGAAGUGCGAAUGCUGACAUAAGUAACGAUAAAGCGGGUGAAAAGCCCGCUCGCCGGAAGACCAAGGGUUCCUGUCCAACGUUAAUCGGGGCAGGGUGAGUCGACCCCUAAGGCGAGGCCGAAAGGCGUAGUCGAUGGGAAACGGGUUAAUAUUCCCGUACUUGGUGUUACUGCGAAGGGGGGACGGAGAAGGCUAUGUUGGCCGGGCGACGGUUGUCCCGGUUUAAGCGUGUAGGUGUGUGUUCCAGGUAAAUCCGGUUCACUUUAACACUGAGGCGUGAUGACGAGGCACUACGGUGCUGAAGCAACAAAUGCCCUGCUUCCAGGAAAAGCCUCUAAGCAUCAGGUAACAUCAAAUCGUACCCCAAACCGACACAGGUGGUCAGGUAGAGAAUACCAAGGCGCUUGAGAGAACUCGGGUGAAGGAACUAGGCAAAAUGGUGCCGUAACUUCGGGAGAAGGCACGCUGACACGUAGGUGAAGUGAUUUACUCAUGGAGCUGAAGUCAGUCGAAGAUACCAGCUGGCUGCAACUGUUUAUUAAAAACACAGCACUGUGCAAACACGAAAGUGGACGUAUACGGUGUGACGCCUGCCCGGUGCCGGAAGGUUAAUUGAUGGGGUCAGCGCAAGCGAAGCUCCUGAUCGAAGCCCCGGUAAACGGCGGCCGUAACUAUAACGGUCCUAAGGUAGCGAAAUUCCUUGUCGGGUAAGUUCCGACCUGCACGAAUGGCGUAAUGAUGGCCAGGCUGUCUCCACCCGAGACUCAGUGAAAUUGAACUCGCUGUGAAGAUGCAGUGUACCCGCGGCAAGACGGAAAGACCCCGUGAACCUUUACUAUAGCUUGACACUGAACAUUGAGCCUUGAUGUGUAGGAUAGGUGGGAGGCUUUGAAGUGUGGACGCCAGUCUGCAUGGAGCCGGCCUUGAAAUACCACCCUUUAAUGUUUGAUGUUCUAACGUGGACCCGUGAUCCGGGUUGCGGACAGUGUCUGGUGGGUAGUUUGACUGGGGCGGUCUCCUCCUAAAGAGUAACGGAGGAGCACGAAGGUUGGCUAAUCCUGGUCGGACAUCAGGAGGUUAGUGCAAUGGCAUAAGCCAGCUUGACUGCGAGCGUGACGGCGCGAGCAGGUGCGAAAGCAGGUCAUAGUGAUCCGGUGGUUCUGAAUGGAAGGGCCAUCGCUCAACGGAUAAAAGGUACUCCGGGGAUAACAGGCUGAUACCGCCCAAGAGUUCAUAUCGACGGCGGUGUUUGGCACCUCGAUGUCGGCUCAUCACAUCCUGGGGCUGAAGUAGGUCCCAAGGGUAUGGCUGUUCGCCAUUUAAAGUGGUACGCGAGCUGGGUUUAGAACGUCGUGAGACAGUUCGGUCCCUAUCUGCCGUGGGCGCUGGAGAACUGAGGGGGGCUGCUCCUAGUACGAGAGGACCGGAGUGGACGCAUCACUGGUGUUCGGGUUGUCAUGCCAAUGGCACUGCCCGGUAGCUAAAUGCGGAAGAGAUAAGUGCUGAAAGCAUCUAAGCACGAAACUUGCCCCGAGAUGAGUUCUCCCUGAGACUUUAGGUCUCCUGAAGGAACGUUGAAGACGACGACGUUGAUAGGCCGGGUGUGUAAGCGCAGCGAUGCGUUGAGCUAACCGGUACUAAUGAACCGUGAGGCUUAACCUUACA